rnacentral:rRNA from 1 species
GAUGAACGCUGACAGAAUGCUUAACACAUGCAAGUCAACCUGAACUUCGGUUUGGGUGGCGGACGGGUGAGUAACGCGUAAAGAACUUGCCUCACAGAUAGGGACAACAUUUGGAAACGAAUGCUAAUACCUGAUAUUAUGAUGAUAUGGCAUCGUAUAAUUAUGAAAGCUAUAUGCGCUGUGAGAGAGCUUUGCGUCCCAUUAGCUAGUUGGAGAGGUAACUGCUCACCAAGGCGAUGAUGGGUAGCCCGCCUGAGAGGGUGAUCGGCCACAUGGUGACUGAGCCACCGCCCUUACUCCUUCGGCAGGCAGCUGUAGGGAAUAUUGGACAAUGGACCAAGAGUCUGAGCCAGCACUUCUGUGUGUACGAUGAAGUUUUUCGGAAUGGAAAGUGCUUUCAGUUGGGAAGAAAAAAAUGACGUUACCAACAGAAGAAGUGACGGCUAAAUACGUG